AUACGUAGGGGGCAAGCGUUAUCCGGAUUUACUGGGCGUAAAGGGCGUGUAGGCGGUCUUGCAAGUCAGAAGUGAAAUUCCUGAGCUCAACUCGGGCGCUGCUUCUGAAACUGCAGGACUUGAGUGCUGGAGGGGAUAGCGGAAUUCCUAGUGGAGCGGUAAAAUGCGUAGAUAUUAGGAAGAACACCUGUGGCGAAGGCGGUUAGCUGGGCCGAAACUGACGCUGAGGCGCGAAAGCUGGGGGAGCAAACAGGAUUAGAUACCCUGGUAGUCCAGGCCUUAAACGAUGAAUACUAGGUGUAGGGGGUAACGACGCCCCCUGGGCCGGAGGUAAACGAAUAAGGAUUCCGGCUUGGGAAUUAGGGCGGAAGGUUGAAACUUAAAGGAAAUUGAGGG
rnacentral:rRNA from 1 species